UACGGAGGAUGCAAGCGUUAUCCGGAAUGAUUGGGCGUAAAGCGUCCGCAGGUGGCAAUGUAAGUCUGCUGUUAAAGAGUCUAGCUCAACUAGAUAAGAGCAGUGGAAACUACAUAGCUAGAGUACGUUCGGGGCAGAGGGAAUUCCUGGUGUAGCGGUGAAAUGCGUAGAGAUCAGGAAGAACACCAGUGGCGAAGGCGCUCUGCUAGGCCGUAACUGACACUGAGGGACGAAAGCUAGGGGAGCGAAUGGG
rnacentral:rRNA from 2 species